AUAUUUCGGAACAGAACCUAGUUCCUUCGAUAUCAAUGUAAUCUAGUAGAUUACUAGAUUACACUGAUAUCGAAGGAACUAAUUCUGUUCCGAAAUAU